rnacentral:rRNA from 1 species
AAAUUGAAGAGUUUGAUCAUGGCUCAGAUUGAACGCUGGCGGCAGGCCUAACACAUGCAAGUCGAGCGGUAGCACAGAGAGCUUGCUCUCGGGUGACGAGCGG